rnacentral:rRNA from 1 species
CGGGACACGUGGUAUCCUGUCUGAAUAUGGGGGGACCAUCCUCCAAGGCUAAAUACUCCUGACUGACCGAUAGUGAACCAGUACCGUGAGGGAAAGGCGAAAAGAACCCCGGCGAGGGGAGUGAAAAAGAACCUGAAACCGUGUACGUACAAGCAGUGGGAGCACGCUUAGGCGUGUGACUGCGUACCUUUUGUAUAAUGGGUCAGCGACUUAUAUUCUGUAGCAAGGUUAACCGAAUAGGGGAGCCGAAGGGAAACCGAGUCUUAACUGGGCGUUAAGUUGCAGGGUAUAGACCCGAAACCCGGUGAUCUAGCCAUGGGCAGGUUGAAGGUUGGGUAACACUAACUGGAGGACCGAACCGACUAAUGUUGAAAAAUUAGCGGAUGACUUGUGGCUGGGGGUGAAAGGCCAAUCAAACCGGGAGAUAGCUGGUUCUCCCCGAAAGCUAUUUAGGUAGCGCCUCGUGAAUUCAUCUCCGGGGGUAGAGCACUGUUUCGGCAAGGGGGUCAUCCCGACUUACCAACCCGAUGCAAACUGCGAAUACCGGAGAAUGUUAUCACGGGAGACACACGGCGGGUGCUAACGUCCGUCGUGAAGAGGGAAACAACCCAGACCGCCAGCUAAGGUCCCAAAGUCAUGGUUAAGUGGGAAACGAUGUGGGAAGGCCCAGACAGCCAGGAUGUUGGCUUAGAAGCAGCCAUCAUUUAAAGAAAGCGUAAUAGCUCACUGGUCGAGUCGGCCUGCGCGGAAGAUGUAACGGGGCUAAACCAUGCACCGAAGCUGCGGCAGCGACGCUGAUGCGUUGUUGGGUAGGGGAGCGUUCUGUAAGCCUGUGAAGGUGUGCUGUGAGGCAUGCUGGAGGUAUCAGAAGUGCGAAUGCUGACAUAAGUAACGAUAAAGCGGGUGAAAAGCCCGCUCGCCGGAAGACCAAGGGUUCCUGUCCAACGUUAAUCGGGGCAGGGUGAGUCGACCCCUAAGGCGAGGCCGAAAGGCGUAGUCGAUGGGAAACAGGUUAAUAUUCCUGUACUUGGUGUUACUGCGAAGGGGGGACGGAGAAGGCUAUGUUGGCCGGGCGACGGUUGUCCCGGUUUAAGCGUGUAGGCUGGUUUUCCAGGCAAAUCCGGAAAAUCAAGGCUGAGGCGUGAUGACGAGGCACUACGGUGCUGAAGCAACAAAUGCCCUGCUUCCAGGAAAAGCCUCUAAGCAUCAGGUAACAUCAAAUCGUACCCCAAACCGACACAGGUGGUCAGGUAGAGAAUACCAAGGCGCUUGAGAGAACUCGGGUGAAGGAACUAGGCAAAAUGGUGCCGUAACUUCGGGAGAAGGCACGCUGAUAUGUAGGUGAAGCGACUUGCUCGUGGAGCUGAAAUCAGUCGAAGAUACCAGCUGGCUGCAACUGUUUAUUAAAAACACAGCACUGUGCAAACACGAAAGUGGACGUAUACGGUGUGACGCCUGCCCGGUGCCGGAAGGUUAAUUGAUGGGGUCAGCGCAAGCGAAGCUCUUGAUCGAAGCCCCGGUAAACGGCGGCCGUAACUAUAACGGUCCUAAGGUAGCGAAAUUCCUUGUCGGGUAAGUUCCGACCUGCACGAAUGGCGUAAUGAUGGCCAGGCUGUCUCCACCCGAGACUCAGUGAAAUUGAACUCGCUGUGAAGAUGCAGUGUACCCGCGGCAAGACGGAAAGACCCCGUGAACCUUUACUAUAGCUUGACACUGAACAUUGAGCCUUGAUGUGUAGGAUAGGUGGGAGGCUUUGAAGUGUGGACGCCAGUCUGCAUGGAGCCGGCCUUGAAAUACCACCCUUUAAUGUUUGAUGUUCUAACGUUGACCCGUGAUCCGGGUUGCGGACAGUGUCUGGUGGGUAGUUUGACUGGGGCGGUCUCCUCCUAAAGAGUAACGGAGGAGCACGAAGGUUGGCUAAUCCUGGUCGGACAUCAGGAGGUUAGUGCAAUGGCAUAAGCCAGCUUGACUGCGAGCGUGACGGCGCGAGCAGGUGCGAAAGCAGGUCAUAGUGAUCCGGUGGUUCUGAAUGGAAGGGCCAUCGCUCAACGGAUAAAAGGUACUCCGGGGAUAACAGGCUGAUACCGCCCAAGAGUUCAUAUCGACGGCGGUGUUUGGCACCUCGAUGUCGGCUCAUCACAUCCUGGGGCUGAAGUAGGUCCCAAG